CUCAUGAUUGAUUGUUGUCCUCUGCAUCGGUUCCUGUGAACGUGUCACACCUGACGAAGCCGCACGAGCUGCAGAGCUGCUGAGACGAACCGUUCCCUGUCCACACCGUCCCCCCGACGACGACCCCACGAGUGAUCAGUCACGCACCCACUGUCCCGUAAUGGCUGCUCUGGACUGGGCCCCGGCCAUGUCUUCUGUACCUCUACUUUCUACAAAUUGGUCUCCGCUGCGAUGUCGGCGUCGCCAAAGCUAAACGAGGAAUCAUCGCGGCAGAUUCCGGGACAGCGUGUGAUUUAAGAGGAAUUUGGAGCUAGACGUGUCCCUGACCCUGGUUUAUCUGUGGUUACAAAACGCCCAUCUGGCAACACUAACUCUGCACAAGGAGCGCGGAUGACAGCACCACAGCAGAUGGCACUAUUGAGUGAGGAAACAUCCGCUGACGGGGGAGGAGAAGUGGCAGUAAAGAUACAGGAGGGGCGAAUGGCAGCAUGGCAGGAUGCCCGCGGAAAAUCUGGCAGGGUUUAUAAUGGGAGUGCAGUUUCCCUCGAUGGUGUUUGCGGCCGUCAGACAAGAUGGACUGCGCCGGAGGACGGCAGCUGCAGCAGGAGACAGAUGUGUCCCGGGAAAGAUGUCAGCACAGGAUGUGUGACAGCCUGGCCAUUAUGUCACUGUGUCACAGCAAGGUGAAACCAUUCUGCAGCUGAGACCAAAACCCCGAUCCACAGUUUCUUAUGGUGAUGCUAGGACGACAAACUACAAUACUUUAACCUGCUGCCACAGCCGCAGGUGUAGCCUGUUGAUGUCUCAUUGCAAAAUUUGUUUUUCAUUUCACAAUUAACACAUGAAUGUUUGAAAUUUAUUUUUAAAGUUAAGGCAAUCUGAUGUAUAUGUUGUAAACGAUGCUAAAUAAUACGCCUGUUUUAUGUCUUUGUGUCAUGCGGCUAUGUUGGA